UGCUCUCACUACGUAAGUAGGUAAGGUCACGGGCAGAACACCCGUUUAUAGGCGGUAGGUGGAAGUGCAGUAAUGUGCGUAGCCGAGCCGUGCUAACAGACCGAGGGCUUGACCUC
rnacentral:rRNA from 1 species